rnacentral:lncRNA from 1 species
CUGGAAAGCAGUAUGGAGAUUCCUCAGAAAACCUGAAAUGGAACCACCAUUUGACCCAGUUAUCCUACUCCUUGGAUAUGCCCAAAGGACUUAAAAUCAGCAUACUAUAGUGACACAGCCACAUCAAUGUUUAUACCAGCUCAAUUCACAAUAGCUAAGCUAUGGAACCACCUGAGGUGCCCUUCAACAGAUGAAUGGAUAAAGAAAAUGUG